rnacentral:rRNA from 1 species
GGAAAAGAAACCAACAGGGAUUGCCUCAGUAACGGCGAGUGAGCGGCAAAAGCUCAAAUUUGAAAUCUAGCACCUUCGGUGUUUGAGUUGUAAUUUGAAGAUGGUAACCUUGGGUUUGGCUCUUGUCUAUGUUCCUUGGAACAGGACGUCAUAGAGGGUGAGAAUCCCGUCUGAUGAGAUGCCCAUUCCUAUGUAAGGUGCUAUCGAAGAGUCGAGUUGUUUGGGAAUGCAGCUCUAAGUGGGUGGUAAAUUCCAUCUAAAGCUAAAUAUUGGCGAGAGACCGAUAGCGAACAAGUACAGUGAUGGAAAGAUGAAAAGAACUUUGAAAAGAGAGUGAAAAAGUACGUGAAAUUGUUGAAAGGGAAGGGCAUUAGAUCAGACUUGGUGUUUUACGAUUAUCUUCUCUUCUUGAGUUGUGCACUCGUAUUUCACUGGGCCAGCAUCGAUUCGGAUGGCAAGAUAAUGGCAGUUGAAUGUGGCUUCACUUCGGUGGAGUGUUAUAGCUUCUGCUGAUAUUGCCUGUCUGGAUCGAGGGCUGCGUCUUUUGACUAGGAUGCUGGCGUAAUGAUCUAAUGCCGCCCGUCUGAAAACCGGGACACA